rnacentral:lncRNA from 1 species
AAACCCUGAUGGGCAGCCAGGCCAAGGCUCCUGGCUCUGCUAAGUUUCUGCUCUUGGGGUGUAGGGGCGACAGCUCCCCGUACCUAGCCUCCUUUCAGUGAGAUCUCUGGUUGACGUGCCUGCUGUCUCAUAGACUGCUUGAAGGAAACGACCCCUGGAAAGAGCUCUGUGUAGUCAGACUCAACCUCAUCCCAGCACUUUCCCCUGCCAUCAUUUCCAGGGGCUUCUGUCUUCAGACUCUGACUUAAUUCGGAGUAGCCAGCCUUCCCUGUUUCUUCAGGUGGUUCACCCAAAGGCCAUUACUGAGCUUUGCUACAAACUCUGGAUAUCCACAUUCAGCACUACUGAAUUGCUAAGGCUGAGCAGGGAGGAAGCCAGUUGUGGGCCAAUGCGUCCCUUCUCCUCCCGGCACCUCUGUGUAUCUGUUCCCUCUUGUGGGGCAAGGAAGACAGUCUAUUAAUUCAUUCUGCAGCAUCCCAUCUGUCUUCAUACACCCCUCAACCCAAACUCUGCCACUUCUCUGAUCAUAUGAGCAGGCCUACAGGACUAUUUUCUGGAAAGACAGUAUUACUUUGCUAGAGCACAGUGCAUCCUAGGCCAUCCAUUGGCCUCUCAUGCACUAUGAUGCUGCUCUCUUGCCCAAGACUCAGCAAACAGCUUUCUUUCCCCACACUCUUGAAUGUGGCAUCCAA